rnacentral:rRNA from 1 species
UACAGAGGGUGCGAGCGUUGUCCGGAAUCACUGGGCGUAAAGGGCGCGUAGGUGGCGCUCCAAGUCCGUGGUGAAAGCUCGAUGCUCAACAUCGAGUCGGCCACGGAGACUGGAGGGCUCGAGCACUGUAGGGGCAGAUGGAAUUCCGGGUGUAGCGGUGGAAUGCGCAGAUAUCAGGAGGAAUACCCAUAGCGAAGGCAGCUCGCUGGGACGUUACUGACGCUGAGGCGCGAAAGCGUGGGGAGCGAACAGG